rnacentral:tRNA from 1 species
GCCGAGAUUGCUCGACUGACAGAGCGAGCGCUCAGUAAGCGAAAGGUAGCCGGUUCAAUUCCGGCUCGCGGUA